rnacentral:rRNA from 1 species
AGGUGCUGCAUGGCUGUCGUCAGCUCGUGUCGUGAGAUGGUUGGGUUAACGUCCCGUAACGAGCGCAACCCUUGUCCUUAGUUACCAGCACGUUAUGGUGGGCACUCUAAGGAGACUGCCGGUGACAAACCGGAGGAAGGUGGGGAUGACGUCAAGUCAUCAUGGCCCUUACGGCCGUGGGCUACACACGUGCUACAAUGGUCGGUACAAAGGGUUGCCAAGCCGCGAGGUGGAGCUAAUCCCAUAAAACCGAUCGUAGUCCGGAUCGCAGUCUGCAACUCGACUGCGUGAAGUCGGAAUCGCUAGUAAUCGUGAAUCAGAAUGUCACGGUGAAUACGUUCCCGGGCCUU